CUGCUGGGGUUACUAAUGCUCUUUUGUUUUUGUUUUUGUUUUUGUUUUUCAUUUCCUUCACUGAGCCGAGGGUCGAUUGGAAACAGCCUCUCUGCCUAGGGGUAAGGCUCGUCUACAUAUUACCCUCCCCAAACCCCACUUUGUGAGACUAUACUUGGUAGUUGUUAUUGUUGUUUAUUUUCAGGUAAUACGACAUGGUUCUCUAGGACAGAUUUUACGUCAGCACGGAAUGUUGAUCAUGGUCUCGCGGGAUUUGAAAGAAGACUGCUCCCACAACUUAACACAUGUUUUCGAUCUUGUGGAUUACAGGGUGAAUGCAGUGAUUGUUGGGUUUGUUGUGUCUAUCAUGGAUACCCAGGAUCUUGGAAAUGUGGCCUCUAAAAGUACGUACAUUGAUGUCCAAUGUACGUACUUUGAUUCAAAUCCCUGUUAUGUAUCUGUAACGUUCGUGUUUUCUCGUUAUAUUUUGUAUGAAAAGAAGGAAAGUCGAGAGAAUGGCUUUCUGUUCUCGAAUAAAAUUAGGAUUUGAAUGCAAGGAUUGUCUAAUUUUAUAAUGUGUGCAUGAUUCAUUAUAUACACAUUACCAGGUUUGUUUAUGAUGUAUUACGUAUGUAAUCACCUAAUAUUUCUUGUCUCC
rnacentral:lncRNA from 1 species